rnacentral:ribozyme from 1 species
AAAACACAAAACACAAAAGAAAAAAAAAAAAAGUUCGUUGUUCCACCCAUUCACCCCUCAUUCUUCCCCGCCCCCCAAUUUACCAAGACGUUUUCUGCUUUUUGUUUUUUUUUCUCUCUUCGUAAUCCAAA